AAGGUUAAAUUAUCCAACCCAAAACAAAAUCACAGAAGCAGGCAGACUCCUGGACGCAGGCAGGUACAUGCAAGAUUUUGGUUUGGCCUCGACGCAUUCAGCAGGUUCGGAGUUAAUUCGCCAUUGCUGUAGAGAGAAGUUCAGAGAUACCCACGGCAUGCAUGCAGACACAAAUUAAACUGAAGUUAUGAAGAAGCUGCAUCACAAUAGCACGUCCUUUCCUGCCUAACAAGGAUGAGCCGUGGGUGAUAGACCACACAACGAGCCCGCGGAGACUUGUUGACUUGCACACACUAGUGCUACACGCCACAAACUACCAUGGAAAUCUUGGGUCAGUAGACUACAGCUAGCCAGGCAGUGACGCUUGAGAACCAGCCAGAUCAAUCCAUCUCCAAAAUCACAAAACACUCUUCCCGGAGACCCAGCGCUGCCGAGGCCAACUUUUCUCUUCUGGCGAUCACAUCUUCUCCAUCGGCGGCUCAGUAUCAUCAGAGCAUUCUUCACAAUCUUCAUAGCUGAGAAGCAUCUCUCAAUGGUUGCAGCUGCAACAGGCAAAAACUGGAGAGAUGAGAAAUGAGAUCACCGUCACCGUCGUCGUGCCGGUGUGCCGCCGCCCGCCGGCCAGGAAAACGAGCAGCAAGGGACGGGCUAUGGGGAGUCGACGAUUCACGAUUGCCGGCGGCGCUGCAGCGAGCCGGUGACUGCGCUGCGGUUUGAGAUUGAGGCGACAGGCGGGGGCUUUCGUUCCAGUCCCGUGCGGGGCUGAUGCGUCCGUGUUUUUUCUUAGGUUUUUUUUUUGAGAAAUGUGUUUUUUCUUAGGUUGUGUAUAAAAGGCAGGGUUCAGAUUUACGACGCUACGGGCUAUGGCCUUUUACUGGGCUGUUUUUUUGUCUUAG